AACGAACGCUGGCGGCAGGCCUAACACAUGCAAGUCGAACGCUGUAGCAAUACAGAGUGGCAGACGGGUGAGUAACGCGUGGGAACCUUCCCAGUGGUGCGGAAUAGCUCAGGGAAACUUGAGGUAAUACCGCAUAAGCCCCUAGGGGGAAAGAUUUAUCGCCAUUGGAUGGGCCCGCGUCGGAUUAGCUAGUUGGUGAGGUAAUGGCUCACCAAGGCAACGAUCCGUAGCNGGUUUGAGAGAAUGACCAGCCACACUGGGACUGAGACACGGCCCAGACUCCUACGGGAGGCAGCAGUGGGGAAUCUUGGACAAUGGGCGCAAGCCUGAUCCAGCCAUGCCGCGUGAGUGACGAAGGCCUUAGGGUUGUAAAGCUCUUUUGCCGGGGACGAUAAUGACGGUACCCGGAGAAUAAGUCCCGGCUAACUUCGUGCCAGCCGCCG
rnacentral:rRNA from 1 species